rnacentral:rRNA from 1 species
AUUGAACGCUGGCGGCAUGCCUUACACAUGCAAGUCGAACGGUAACAGGUUAAGCUGACGCGUGGCGAACGGGUGAGUAAUGUAUCGGAACGUGCCCAGUCGUGGGGGAUAACUUCUCGAAAGAUCAGCUAAGACCGCAUACGACCUGAGCGCGAACGCGGGGGAGCGCAAGACCUCGCGCGAUUGGAGCGGCCGCUAUCAGAUUAGGUAGUUGGCGGGGUAAAGGCUCACCAAGGCGACGAUCUGUAGCUGGUCUGAGAGGAUGAGCACCCACACUGGGACUGAGACACGGGCCAGACUCCUACGGGAGGCCGCAGUGGGGAAUAGUGGACAAUGGGCGCAAGCCUGAUCCAGCCAUACCGCGUGGGUGAAGAAGGCCUUCGGGUUGUAAAGCCCUUUUGUUGGGAAAGAAAAGCAGCAGGUUAAUACCCCGCUGUUCUGACGGUACCCAAAGAAUAAGCACCGGCUAACUUCGUG